AAGAGCAACUGGUCAAGCCCUUUACACAUGGUAAAGAAAGCGAACGGAGACUACCGAGCUCUAAACAACGUAACAGUGCCUGAUCGAUAUCCGAUUCCGUACAUACUGGAUGUAACGAGCAUUCUAUACGGUCCAUACUGUAUUGUGGCAACUCUCAGCAACUUACAAUAGUGUGAUCGAUCUCGAGUACCCGAGUAUCGAGAUCGCGAGAGGCCUUCUCUAGGCGAAUCUAUCAUCACUACACAUUAAAUUGGUGACCCCGACGUGAUUCACUAUAUACAUAGACUCGAAAAUCUGCAUAAAUUUUGGCAACCAACGACGCCAUGGAAGACGACGCCGACGUUUUUUUACGAUCCCGUUGCUCGUGUUCCCGACGCUGCAAUCAGCCGCGUGGCUGUAAAAAUACCAUCGGUUUGGACCGAGAACCCCGAAUUGUGGUUGUCUCAAAUCGAAGCCCAAUUUAUUUUGGCGGGAAUAACUUCUGACGACACAAAGUUCAACACAGUUCUGCCAUCAAUCGAAGCACCAGUUUUGGCGCGAAUUUCCGACGCAGUCGUCAACCAGCCAAGCGUAGACAAAUACGAAAAUUUAAAAUCUUACAUUCUGGAACGCUUCUGUGAAAGCGAACAGAAGAAAAUCCAGAAGUUAAGUUCGGAGACCGACCUUGGCGAUAAGCGUCCUUCACAAUUGCUUAAUGAGUUAAGCUCGCUCGCCGCAAAUAAAGUUAAGUAAGCUUCUUAAAAGCACUUUGGAUGCAGCGCUUAACAACACAAGUGCAAACUAUCUUGCAGGUAUCGGACGCCAGCUUAUCAGACUUGCCUAAGUUGGCAGAUAAAGUAGUAGAUGUUAGCGAUUUUCACAAUGUACGCACGGUUGACUACAGUUCUAAGUCUUUGCCACACCGCAACACUGAUGUUGACGACCGUUUAGAACGCAUCGAGCAACAGGUAAACGCCCUACUCAAAAACAGUUCACGCAAGAACAGUCGGUUCACAUCAACAAGGCGCAGCACCACAACCCAUGACGCUGGUCAAACCUCAAGCAUGUGUUGGUACCACAGAAUAUUCGGUAGCGACGCCCAGAAAUGCCGCCAACCAUGCUCUUUUUCGUCACAAACAAAAAACUAACGCAGUCUUCGGAUUCGGGAGGCAAAUUCGAAGAGGGCCACUGCACAAUUGCCCGCCUCAGCAUCAGCGGCAGCUUUUCCAAAAUAAACUUUCUUAUCGACACCAGCACCGACAUUUCAGUGUUGCCACCCUGUAAAAAUGCGAAACCAAUACCUACUCCAAAGCUUCUUUUGGCAGCCAGUGGCUCAAAAAUACAAACCUAUCGAGAUAAGCGCAUAACAAUAUCAAUCGGACUAAGGCGAAAUUUGGUUUGGACUUUCGUGGUAGCUAACGUCAAUUGCGCUAUCAUUGGAUCCGAUUUUCUUCAAUACUUCGACUUGCUCGUUGACAUUAGGCGACGUAAACUUAUCGAUCGAGCAACGCUAUCUGAAUCGACCUGUGGCACGCCUCCGCAUAAAAUAGCUCGGAUUUUUAUCCUAUGAUGCGUGCAAUAAAUACGCCAAACUACUUCACGAAUAUCGAGAUCUCGCCGACGACUGGCACCAGACAAACUCAAAGCAGCGCAGAGCGAGUUUUCCUAUCUUUUGGAUAAUGGAAUAUAUGUCGUCCCUCAAAGAGCAACUGGUCAAGCCCUUUACACAUGGUAAAGAAAGCGAACGGAGACUACCGAGCUCUAAACAACGUAACAGUGCCUGAUCGAUAUCCGAUUCCGUACAUACUGGAUGUAACGAGCAUUCUAUACGGUCCAUACUGUAUUGUGGCAACUCUCAGCAACUUACAAUAGUGUGAUCAAUCUCGAGUACCCGAGUAUCGAGAUCGCAAGAGGCCUUCUCUAGGCGAAUCUAUCAUCACUACACAUUAAAUUGGUGACCCCGACGUGAUUCACUAUAUACAUAGACUCGAAAAUCUGCAUAAAUUUUGGCAACCAACGACGCCAUGGAAGACGACGCCGACGUUUUUUUACGAUCCCGUUGCUCGUGUUCCCGACGCUGCUCAGCCGCGUGGCUGUAAAAAUACCAUCGUUUUGGACCGAGUACCCCGAAUUAUGGUUGUCUCAAAUCGAAGCCCAAUUUAUUUUGGCGGGAAUAACUUCUGACGACACAAAGUUCAACACAGUUCUGACAUCAAUCGGAGCACCAGUUUUGGCGUGAAUUUCCGACGCAGUCGUCAACCAGCCAAGCGAGUUAAGCUCGCUCGCCGCAAAUAAAGUUAAGUAAGCUUCUUAAAAGCACUUUGGAUGCAGCGCUUACCAACGCAAGUGCAAACUAUCUUGCAGGUAUCGGACGCCAGCUUAUCAGACUUGCCUAAGUUGGCAGAUAAAGUAGUAGAUGUUGGCGAUUUUCACAAUGUACGCACGGUUGACUACAGUUCUAAGUCUUUGCCACACCGCAACACUGAUGUUGACGACCGUUUAGAACGCAUCGAGCAACAGGUAAACGCCCUACUCAAAAACAGUUCUCGCAAGAACAGUCGGUUCACAUCAACAAGGCGCAGCGCCACAACCCAAGACGCUGGUCACACCUCAAGCAUGUGGUACCAACCACAGAAAAUUCGGUAGCGACGCCCAGAAAUGCCGCCAACCAUGCUCUUUUUCGUCACAAACAAAAAACUAACGCAGUCUUCGGAUUCGGGAGGCAAAUUCGAUGAGGGCCACUGCACAAUUGCCUCCAUUUUUGUCUUCUUUUCGUCGGCUUUUCUCUUUCUUGUAUUUGUCCGCUAGCAGUGUCAGCUUUCUUCUUAUCGUUUCUGAGUGGUCCGUGCUCUUUGAAAGAGCCGCCAAUGUUCUUCGUAAGUCCUCGUUUUUUCCCGACCAAUCCAAUCCGAAUUCUCUUGCGUAUUCUGCUAGUUCGGGUUUUGUUGCCAUAUAUACCCAACUAGACAUCACUCUCU